rnacentral:rRNA from 1 species
CGCCUGGGGAGUGCGGCCGCAAGGUUGAACUCAAGGAAUUGACGGGGACCCGCACAAGCGGUGGAGCAUGUGGUUUAAUUCGAAGCAACGCGAAGAACCUUACCAAAUCUUGGCAUCCUCUGACCCCUCUAGAGAUAGAGUUUUCCCUUCGGGGACAGAGUGACAGGUGGUGCAUGGUUGUCGUCAGCUCGUGUCGUGAGAUGUUGGGUUAAGUCCCGCACGAGCGCACCCUUAAGCUUAGUUGCCAUCAUUAAUUGGGCACUCUAAGUUGACUGCCGGUGACAACCGGAGGAAGGCGGGACGACGUCAAAUCAUCAUGCCCCUAUGAUUUGGGCUACACACGUGCCACAAUGGACAUACAAGGGUAGCGAACCGCGAGGUCAGCAAAUCCCAUAAAGUUGUCUCAGCUCGGAUGUAUCUGCACUCGACUAUAUGAAGCUGGAUCGCUAGUAUCGUAGAUCAGAUGCUACGGUGAUACGUCCCGGUCUUGACCCCGCCGUC